rnacentral:rRNA from 1 species
GACGAACGCUGGCGGCGUGCUUAACACAUGCAAGUCGAACGGCAAGGCACUGCUUUUGUGGGGUGCUCGAGUGGCGAACGGGUGAGUAACACGUGAGUAACCUGCUCUUGACUUUGGGAUAACUUCAGGAAACUGGGGCUACUCCCGGAUAGGAGCUCCUGCUGGAUUGUGGGGGUUGGAACUUCGCGGCGGUUGGGGAUGGACUCGCGGCUUAAGAGCUUGUUGGUGGGGUAGUGGAUGACCAAGGGUUUGACGGAUCACCGGCCUGAGAGGGUGACCGGCGACAUGGGGACUGCGAGACGGCCCAGACGGCUACGGGGGGCAGUAGGGGGGAAUAUUGCCCAAUGGGCGGAAGUCUGAGGCAGCAACGCCGCGUGCGGGAUGACGGCCUUCGGGUUGUAAACCGCUUUCGCCUGUGACGAAGCGGGAGUGACGGUAAUGAGUAAAGAAGCACCGGCUAACUACGUG